ensembl:snRNA U6 U6 spliceosomal RNA
GUGCCCGCUUCACUAGCACAUACACUAAAUUGGAACGACAUAGAGAAGAUUAGCAUGGCCCCUGCGCGAGGAUGACACACAAAUUCAUGAAGUGUUCUGUAUUUUU